rnacentral:rRNA from 1 species
AGAGUUUGAUCCUGGCUCAGAUUGAACGCUGGCGGCAGGCUUAACACAUGCAAGUCGAGCGGAGAGAGGUAGCUUGCUACUGAUCUUAGCGGCGGACGGGUGAGUAAUGCUUAGGAAUCUGCCUAUUAGUGGGGGACAACAUUUCGAAAGGAAUGCUAAUACCGCAUACGUCCUACGGGAGAAAGCAGGGGAUCUUCGGACCUUGCGCUAAUAGAUGAGCCUAAGUCGGAUUAGCUAGUUGGUGGGGUAAAGGCCUACCAAGGCGACGAUCUGUAGCGGGUCUGAGAGGAUGAUCCGCCACACUGGGACUGAGACACGGCCCAGACUCCUACGGGAGGCAGCAGUGGGGAAUAUUGGACAAUGGGCGCAAGCCUGAUCCAGCCAUGCCGCGUGUGUGAAGAAGGCCUUAUGGUUGUAAAGCACUUUAAGCGAGGAGGAGGCUACUUUAGUUAAUACCUAGAGAUAGUGGACGUUACUCGCAGAAUAAGCACCGGCUAACUCUGUGCCAGCAGCCGCGGUAAUACAGAGGGUGCAAGCGUUAAUCGGAUUUACUGGGCGUAAAGCGCGCGUAGGCGGCUAAUUAAGUCAAAUGUGAAAUCCCCGAGCUUAACUUGGGAAUUGCAUUCGAUACUGGUUAGCUAGAGUGUGGGAGAGGAUGGUAGAAUUCCAGGUGUAGCAGUGAAAUGCGUAGAGAUCUGGAGGAAUACCGAUGGCGAAGGCAGCCAUCUGGCCUAACACUGACGCUGAGGUGCGAAAGCAUGGGGAGCAAACAGGAUUAGAUACCCUGGUAGUCC